CCUUCAUGAUACACAUAAGAUUUCAUUCAGAUUCUUCCAAAUGGUAUUGCAUGGAUCCCAAACUUGGUGGAAACAAUCAUCAAUGUGGUAACGAGUGGCGGCCAAUCCAUCACUGUGGAUCAGAAGUUGAUAGAAGGGCCAAAUCCAAACAACAGGGGAAAGCUGUUUAUACCCCUUAUCCUUGCCUUUCAGUACCUAUUCGUUGUAAAGACCAUCCAACGUUCAAUCCAAGAGGAUGUCAGAAAAGAAAACAAAUCUCUUUGGGAGCUUCGUGAUAUUGGGGGUGGCUGACAGAAAAAUCUGAUCACUUUCUGGUGUUUCGGUGAAUGUUUUCCAGUUUUCUAGAGUUCAGUUCUUUUAAUGCUGGCAACUUUCAUGGCAUUCGGAUUCA